rnacentral:rRNA from 2 species
UUUUAUAAAUUAAGACUGGAAUGAAUGGGUUAAUGGGGCAUUUCUUUCUUAAUCUAAAUAUUAAAAAUAAUUUUUUUGGUGAGGAGACCAAAAUGAAUAUGAAAGACGAGAAGACCCUAUUAAGCUUAGAUAAAAUUAUUUUGUUGGGGAAACAAAAGAAGAAAUUUUCUUUAAAAUAUUUUUUUGAUAAAAAAUGAUUUUUUAUUAAAGGAAAUAGAGUAAGUUACUAUAGGGAUAACAGCAUAAUUUUUUUUAAAAGUUCUUAUUGACGAAAAAGGUUAUGACCUCGAUGUUGGAUUAAAAUUAUUAUAUAGUGAAGUUAUUAUAUAAAUUAGUCUGUUCGACUAUUAAAGUUUUA